rnacentral:rRNA from 1 species
UACGUAUGAGGCGAGCGUUGUUCGGAAUCAUUGGGCGUAAAGGGCGCGUAGGCGGCCGGGUAAGUCUGACGUGAAAUCCCUUGGCUUAACCAAGGAAUUGCGUCUUAAACUGCUUGGCUUGAGUCCGGGAGAGGGUAGUGGAAUUCCCAGUGUAGCGGUGAAAUGCGUAGAUAUUGGGAGGAACACCGGUGGCGAAGGCGGCUACCUGGACCGGUACUGACGCUGAGGCGCGAAAGCUAGGGUAGCAAACAGG